rnacentral:rRNA from 1 species
GACGAACGCUGGCGGCGUGCCUAAUACAUGCAGGUAGGACGCUGAAGGAGGAGCUUGCUUCUCUGGAUGAGUUGCGAACGGGUGAGUAACGCGUAGGUAACCUGCCUGGUAGCGGGGGAUAACUAUUGGAAACGAUAGCUAAUACCGCAUAAUAUUGACUAUUGCAUGAUAGUCAGUUGAAAGGUGCAACUGCACCACUACCAGAUGGACCUGCGUUGUAUUAGCUAGUUGGUGGGGUAACGGCUCACCAAGGCGACGAUACAUAGCCGACCUGAGAGGGUGAUCGGCCACACUGGGACUGAGACACGGCCCAGACUCCUACGGGAGGCAGCAGUAGGGAAUCUUCGGCAAUGGACGGAAGUCUGACCGAGCAACGCCGCGUGAGUGAAGAAGGUUUUCGGAUCGUAAAGCUCUGUUGUAAGAGAAGAACGAGUGUGAGAGUGGAAAGCUCACACUGUGACGGUAUCUUACCAGAAAGGGACGGCUAACUACGUG